CAGUCGCCACGGUAAUACAGAGGGUGCGAGCGUUAAUCGGAUUUACUGGGCGUAAAGCGUGCGUAGGCGGCUUCUUAAGUCGGAUGUGAAAUCCCUGAGCUUAACUUAGGAAUUGCAUUCGAUACUGGGAAGCUAGAGUAUGGGAGAGGAUGGUAGAAUUCCAGGUGUAGCGGUGAAAUGCGUAGAGAUCUGGAGGAAUACCGAUGGCGAAGGCAGCCAUCUGGCCUAACACUGACGCUGAGGUACGAAAGCAUGGGGAGCAAACAGGAUUAGAUACCCCUGUAGUCCCUGUCUCUUAUAC
rnacentral:rRNA from 1 species